rnacentral:rRNA from 1 species
CACCCACCAGCUAGCCUACAAUUAAAACACAAUUAAACCCUGUUUAUACCCCCACAUCCCUUAGAACCCCUAUAAACAAAUCAUUUUUCCCCUUUAGUACAGGCGAUGGAAAAAGAACUUAGAGCUAUAGAAAAAGUACCGCAAGGGAACGCUGAAAGAGAAAUGAAACAACCCAGUUAAGUAAUAUAAAGCAGAGACCCUCCUCGUACCUUUUGCAUCAUGAUUUAGCCAGUAAACCCAAGCAAAGAGCCCUUUAGUUUGUCCCCCCGAAACUAAGUGAGCUACUUCAAGACAGCCUAUUAAUUAGGGCUAACCCGUCUCUGUCGCAAAAGAGUGGGGAGAGCUUCGAGUAGCGGUGACAGACCUACCGAACUUAGUUAUAGCUGGUUGCCUACGAAUUGGAUAGAAGUUCAGCCCCUUGCCUUCUUACCCUUCCCCUAACCUUCCCCGGAUUAUAGAAGACAUGGGAGUUAAUCGAAGGGGGUACAGCUCCUUUGAUAUAAGACACAACUUUAAACAGCAGGGUAAAGAUCAUAUCGUCUAAGAUAAAAAUCCCUCGUGGGCUUAAAAGCAGCCACCAUCAAGAAAGCGUUACAGCUCAGAUACCAUUUUUAAUCACAUAUCCCGACACCCCUAUCUUACCCCUCUAACCCUACUAGGCCGUCCCAUACCCUUAUGGGAGUGAUUAUGCUAAAAUGAGUAAUAAGAAGGCCUGGCCUUCUCCCCCCACAAGUGUAAAUCGUAAUGGACCAACCACCGAAAAUUACCGGCCCCAAAAAAAGAGAGCAAUGAGCCUUUCACUAUAGAACAAGAAAUACCCUCAAACCCCGCCGUUAACCCCACACUGGAGUGCAAACAAGGAAAGACUAAAAGGGAGAGAAGGAACUCGGCAAACACAUGCCUCGCCUGUUUACCAAAAACAUCGCCUCUUGCAAAAUCAACGAAUAAGAGGUCCCGCCUGCCCUGUGACUAUAUGUUUAACGGCCGCGGUAUUUUGACCGUGCAAAGGUAGCGCAAUCACUUGUCUUUUAAAUGGAGACCCGUAUGAAUGGCAUAACGAGGGCCUAACUGUCUCCUUUCCCCAGUCAAUGAAAUUGAUCUCCCCGUGCAGAAGCGGGGAUCUUACCAUAAGACGAGAAGACCCUAUGGAGCUUUAGACACUAAAGCAGGUCACGUUAAAAGAAUCUAACUACAGAACAGAACUAAAUGACAUCUGCCCUAAUGUCUUUGGUUGGGGCGACCCCGGAGCACAAAAACCCUCCGCGUGGAAUGAGAAAAACUUCUUAGAAGCGCGAGCGCCAGCUCUAACUAACAGAAUUUCUGACCUCCCAGACCCGGCACCCCGCCGAUCAACGAACCGAGUUACCCUAGGGAUAACAGCGCAAUCCUCUUUUAGAGACCAUAUCGACAAGGGGGUUUACGACCUCGAUGUUGGAUCAGGACAUCCUAAUGGUGCAGCCGCUAUUAAGGGUUCGUUUGUUCAACGAUUAACAGUCCUACGUGAUCUGAGUUCAGACCGGAGUAAUCCAGGUCAGUUUCUAUCUAUGCAGUGAGCUUUUCUAGUACGAAAGGACCGAAAAGACGGGGCCCCUGCCAUACGCAUGCCCCCCCCUUACCUAAUGAAAGCAACUUAACUAGCUAAGAGGGCACCCCCCCCACCACGAAAUCAGUGAUUUA